AUUGAACGCUGGCGGCAGGCGUAACACAUGCAAGUCGAACGAGUGGCGGACGGGUGAGUAAUGCUUGGGAAUCUAGCUUAUGGAGGGGGAUAACUACGGGAAACUGUAGCUAAUACCGCGUACCAUAGGAUGAGCCCAAGUGGGAUUAGGUAGUUGGUGAGGUAAAGGCUCACCAAGCAGACGAUCUCUAGCUGGUAUGAUAGGAUGACCAGCCACACUGGGACUGAGAGACGUACCAGACUCCUACGGGAGGCAGGAGUGGGGAAUAUUGCGCAAUGGGGGCAACCUGACGCAGCCAUGCCGCGUGAAUGAAGAAGGCCUUCGGGUUGUAAAGUUCUUUCGGUAGCGAGGCGUUAACUACAGAAGAGGCACCUCCUAACUCCGUGCCAGCCGCCGCGGUUAUAC
rnacentral:rRNA from 1 species